GCUCGAUUCCUGCUUCUAUAGGUAGCUUGAGCAACCUGAUUCUUUUGUCGCUCCAGGACAAUCAACUUUCCGGUUCCAUUCCACCAGAGAUAGGAAACCUUUCUAGUUUGGGUUACAUGGAAAUGAGUGAAAACCAUCUAACAGGUCCAAUCCCUCCAAAAUUUUUGGAAGCUUAAAAAACAUGGCUUGCUUGUCUAUCUUCGACAAUCAACUUUCCGGUUCCAUUCCACCACAGAUAGGAAACCUUUCUAGUUUGGGUUACAUGGAUAUGGGUGAAAACCAUCUAACAGGUCCAAUCCCUCCAAAUUUUGGAAGCUUAAAAAACCUGGCUUACUUGUAUAUCUUAGAGAAUGAACUUUCUGGUUCCAUUCCUCCAGAAAUAGGGAACCUUUCAAGUUUGGUUGAAAUGGAAAUGGCCAGAAACAAAAUAA
rnacentral:lncRNA from 1 species